AGUUGCGAUCAUACCAGCGUUAAUGCACCGGAUCCCAUCAGAACUCUGCAGUUAAGCAUGCUUGGGCUAGAGUAAUACUAGUAUGGGUGACCUCUUGGGAAGUCCUAGUGUUGCACCCU
rfam:Picea glauca, whole genome shotgun sequence.